UCGAGAAUAAUUCACAAUGGGGGAAACCCUGAUGGUGCAACGCCGCGUGGAGGAUGAAGGUCUUCGGAUUGUAAACUCCUGUCAUCGGGGAGUAAGACCUGGGCGUGAAUAGCGCACAGGGUUGAUAGUACCCGAAGAGGAAGGGACGGCUAACUUCGUGCCAGCAGCCGCGGUAAUACGAAGGUCCCAAGCGUUGUUCGGAAUCACUGGGCGUAAAGGGAGCGUAGGCGGCGUGGUAAGUCAGAUGUGAAAUCCCGGGGCUCAACCCCGGAACUGCAUCCGAUACUGCCGUGCUUGAGGGUUGGAGAGGUAGCUGGAAUUAUCGGUGUAGCAGUGAAAUGCGUGGAUAUCGAUAGGAACACUCGUGGCGAAGGCGAGCUACUGGACAACAUCUGACGCUGAGGCUCGAAGGCUAGGGGAGCAAAAGGG
rnacentral:rRNA from 1 species